rnacentral:rRNA from 1 species
GAUGAACGCUAGCUACAGGCUUAACACAUGCAAGUCGAGGGGCAGCAUUUCAGUUUGCUUGCAAACUGGAGAUGGCGACCGGCGCACGGGUGAGUAACACGUAUCCAACCUGCCGAUAACUCGGGGAUAGCCUUUCGAAAGAAAGAUUAAUACCCGAUGGUAUAAUCAGACCGCAUGGUCUUGUUAUUAAAGAAUUUCGGUUAUCGAUGGGGAUGCGUUCCAUUAGGCAGUUGGUGAGGUAACGGCUCACCAAACCUUCGAUGGAUAGGGGUUUUGAGAGGAAGGUCCCCCACAUUGGAACUGAGACACGGUCCAAACUCCUACGGGAGGCAGCAGUGAGGAAUAUUGGUCAAUGGGCGCAGGCCUGAACCAGCCAAGUAGCGUGAAGGAUGACUGCCCUAUGGGUUGUAAACUUCUUUUAUAUGGGAAUAAAGUUUUCCACGUGUGGAAUUUUGUAUGUACCAUAUGAAUAAGGAUCGGCUAACUCCGUGCCAGCAGCCGCGGUAAUACGGAGGAUCCGAGCGUUAUCCGGAUUUAUUGGGUUUAAAGGGAGCGUAGGUGGACAGUUAAGUCAGUUGUGAAAGUUUGCGGCUCAACCGUAAAAUUGCAGUUGAUACUGGCUGUCUUGAGUACAGUAGAGGUGGGCGGAAUUCGUGGUGUAGCGGUGAAAUGCUUAGAUAUCACGAAGAACUCCGAUUGCGAAGGCAGCUUACUGGACUGCAACUGACACUGAUGCUCGAAAGUGUGGGUAUCAAAGCAGGAUCCAGAUACCCUGGUAGUCCCACACACUAAACGAUGAAUACUCGCUGUUUGCGAUAUACAGUAAGCGGCCAAGCGAAAGCAUUAAGUAUUCCACCCGGGGAGUACGCCGGCAACGGUGAAACUCAAAGGAAUUGACGGGGGCCCGCACAAGCGGAGGAACAUGUGGUUUAAUUCGAUGAUACGCGAGGAACCUUACCCGGGCUUAAAUUGCAAAUGAAUAAUCUGGAAACAGGUUAGCCGCAAGGCAUUUGUGAAGGUGCUGCAUGGUUGUCGUCAGCUCGUGCCGUGAGGUGUCGGCUUAAGUGCCAUAACGAGCGCAACCCUUAUCUUUAGUUACUAACAGGUCAUGCUGAGGACUCUAGAGAGACUGCCGUCGUAAGAUGUGAGGAAGGUGGGGAGGACGUCAAAUCAGCACGGCCCUUACGUCCGGGGCUACACACGUGUUACAAUGGGGGGUACAGAAGGCAGCUACCUGGUGACAGGAUGCUAAUCCCAAAAGCCUCUCUCAGUUCGGAUAGAAGUCCGCAACCCGACUUCGUGAAGCUGGAUUCGCUAGUAAUCGCGCAUCAGCCAUGGCGCGGUGAAUAAGAGGCCGGGCCUUGCACA